rnacentral:piRNA from 1 species
CAAGAAAGGAGGAGAGUCCGUCUG